UACGAGAGGCCCAACCGUUAUUCGGAUUUACUGGGCUUAAAGAGUUCGUAGGCGGCGCAGCAAGUAGGGUGUGAAAGCCCUCGGCUCAACCGAGGAAUUGCGCUCUAAACUACUGUGCUUGAGGAACCUAGAGGUGAGCAGAACUGAUGGUGGAGCGGUGAAAUGCGUUGAUAUCAUCAGGAAUACCGGAGGCGAAGGCGGCUCACUGGGGGUUAUCUGACGCUGAGGAACGAAAGCCAGGGGAGCGAACGGG
rnacentral:rRNA from 1 species